GUGCACAUUUCAUUGACCUGCUUUCUAAUGUUCUUGUGAGCAGUGUUAUUUCUCAUGUGCUACAUUAUAAUUGAAGGCUAAUUAGCAGUAUGACUAAAUAGUAAUACUGCCAGUCUCCUUCAGACAGUU
rnacentral:snoRNA from 10 species